CGUGGAGACAGGUGGUGCAUGGUUGUCGUCAGCUCGUGUCGCGAGAUGUUGGGUUCAGUCCCGCAACGAGCGCAACCCUUAUCCUUAGUUGCCAGCAUUCAGUUGGGCCCUCUAAGGAGACAGCCGAUGAAAGUCGGAGGAAGGUGGGGAUGACGUCAAGUCCUCAUGGCCUUUAUGCCCAGGGCUACACACGUGCUACAAUGGGCGGCACAAAGGGCAGCGACGCCGCGAGGUGUAGCAAAUCCCAAAAAACCGUUCUCAGUUCGGAUCGGAGUCUGCAACUCGACUCCGUGAAGUUGGAAUCGCUAGUAAUCGUGGAUCAGCAUGCCACGGUGAAUACGUUCCCGGGCCUUGUACACACCGCCCGUCACACCACGAAAGUCUGCUGUACUCGAAGUCGCUGAG
rnacentral:rRNA from 1 species